rnacentral:misc_RNA from 1 species
GAAAUGCGAUAAGUAAUGCGAAUUGCAGAAUUUCCGUGAGUCAUCGAAUCUUUGAACGCACAUUGCGCCCACUGGUAUUCCGGUGGGCAUGCCUGUUCGAGCGUCAUUAUCCUCUCUCCAACCUUUUGGCUGGGUGUUGGACCGAGUUGGGGGUCACACCGCAACUGGUCUCAAAGACAAUGACGGCGUCCGUGGGGCCCUCUUCGCAACGAGUCUUUCGAGGCACGCGGGGAGUUGCAAGGCCUCGUCGGGUCGGUCUAACCUCAUUAUUUUUCUCAGGUUGACCUCGGAUCAGGUAGGAAUACCCGCUGAACUUAA